GUUCACAGGUAGCGCGACCUGUCUCGUAGUGUAGAUUUUCAAUUGCUUUUAACACUGUAAAUCAAAGUGACAUCGUGUACUGUUGGAUGUUUUUUAUCGAAGAAGGUUCGGAAAUGAAAUUUUCUCAACAAUAAAAAGGAGCUGCCCCCUGUUCACUGAAGGGGAUGAUGGGGUAUUCAUUGUACUAAGCACAGCAGGUUCACUACCCCCACUACUUCAUCAGGUUGGGAAGUUAUUUUUCAAGACCCCGAGGAAGUGUGAGGUUUUGGAAUCAGCUGUGAAGGAUCUGCAAAGCAGGUAUUUUACCUCGCAGACGAAGAUAAAGGUGCAAAUGCUGUGGUCAGCCAGGUUCACCACUACCUCAAAACAUACAGUCUUGGCAAACAGCAUGCUCACUUUCAGUGUGACAACUGUUGCGGCCAAAAUAAAAACAACAUAGUCAUCUGGUACCUUCUUUGGAGAGUUCUUGUAGGUUUACACAGAAGCAUCACACUAAGCUUUAUGUUGGUAGGACAUACAAAGUUUACACCAGAUUGGCACUUUGGCACCUGGAAGUCUAAGUAGAGCGUCUGUGCGGUUAUCGUCAAGGACGGGCCACAACAUUCCCCAGCUUGUGGGGGACACUUGCAAUCCUGUUGUGUUCUACGAUUGGAAGGAUUACCUUUCUACAUUGUUUCACCCCAUAAAGAAUGUCACCAAAUUUCACCAAUUCCAUGUGUCAAUAGAUCAUCCAGGUGUUGUGGAGUGCAGGGAAUUUAGUGACUCACCAGUAGUCAGAAUCACUCUCAGGCAGGUCUCGAAAAUGAAUGUUAAUGUGAGCUGUGACGACCUGCCAAAAGAAAUGUUAUCGAAAGGGCUUGAUCUGGACCGUCAGUGGUACUUAUUUGAACACAUUCGUGAACUCUGUCACACAGAUGAAGCCAAAAACUGUAUAUGUCUGAAACCCGCUACUGAUAAGCGACAAAAAACAGACUGUGCCCCCAUAAAACAGAAGAUGCAUUAAGAUGCACAUCUGAUCUUCUCUGCACAUGCCAAAACAAUUACAUACAUCAUGUAUCAGUGUGUUUUUUUUGGCCAAGGUAUUGGGUGAUGUUUUUUCACACAAACAGUGCAAAAAUCCACUAUUCUGAGGAAAGCUUAUACAUGUACAUGUAUACGAGUGCUAAAUCUGUUAGUUGAUACAGGUUUUGAAGUGUUCAAUACAAAAGUUUGUUGUUCUAAUUGCACAAGCUUGUUUUCAAGUUUUUUAAAUCUCAUAUUUACAAAACAAAAAUCAUUUUUUCAAUGUUACUUUGAAAUUGUUUUCACCUUAUGAACUCAGACUGCCUUUCCGAAACUGGAAAAAACAUCAAUGUGAAUGUUGUAUUUAUUUAUGUUUUACCAUGAAAAUCCUAUAAUUUUGUUUGUUUGCUUCAUUGUUUCCAUAGUAACAAAAACAAACAAUAUGUAUAAAUUAUUGUUUAUUUUGUCUAUUGUACAAAAUCAGAAUUAAUGAUAAUAAUGAUUAUUACAUUUACUGAAACAUUUAGUAUCCAAGUGUACUUUCAACCAACACUUUUCAAUGCUGUUUUUUUUCCAUUCUGUUGAGGUUACAUUAUACUUGAAUUCACAUGUAAAUGAAUGAAAAGGGAAAUUGUUCAUGGAACACACAAAUUAUUGAUUGUUAUUGUUUAACUAGUUGCAAAAACAGUGCAAUUAAUAUUUUGUUUACCUUUAAACAAACACUUGAUUGAUAAUACAAUUCAUAUAUUUAUAAAAGGCGGGAUUGUGCGCUCUGGUGAUUAUUACCAUGUAGAUCGGUUACCAUAGCAACACAAAUACUACAUUUUUAAUGUCCAUAAUGGUGUUGUCAGUUUUUUGCAUUAUAAUUAUGUAUUUGACUUAAGAAAGAUUAUUGUUUUAAUAAAACAGUUUG